rnacentral:rRNA from 1 species
UGGGGAAUAUUGCACAAUGGGCGCAAGCCUGAUGCAGCCAUGCCGCGUGUGUGAAGAAGGCCUUCGGGUUGUAAAGCACUUUCAGCGGGGAGGAAGGCGUUAAGGUUAAUAACCUUGGCGAUUGACGUUACCCGCAGAAGAAGCACCGGCUAACUCCGUGCCAGCAGCCGCGGUAAUACGGAGGGUGCAAGCGUUAAUCGGAAUUACUGGGCGUAAAGCGCACGCAGGCGGUCUGUCAAGUCAGAUGUGAAAUCCCCGGGCUCAACCUGGGAACUGCAUCUGAUACUGGCAAGCUUGAGUCUCGUAGAGGGGGGUAGAAUUCCAGGUGUAGCGGUGAAAUGCGUAGAGAUCUGGAGGAAUACCGGUGGCGAAGGCGGCCCCCUGGACGAAGACUGACGCUCAGGUGCGAAAGCGUGGGGAGCAAACAGG